AGCGAACGCUGGCGGCAGGCUUAACACAUGCAAGUCGAGCGGGCAUCCUUGUGGUGUCAGCGGCAGACGGGUGAGUAACGCGUGGGAACGUGCCCUUCGGUUCGGAAUAACUCAGGGAAACUUGAGCUAAUACCGGACACGUGCGAGAGCAGAAAGGUUUAUCUGCCGAAGGAUCGGCCCGCGUCUGAUUAGCUAGUUGGUGAGGUUAUGGCUCACCAAGGCGACGAUCAGUAGCUGGUCUGAGAGGAUGAUCAGCCACACUGGGACUGAGACACGGCCCAGGCUCCUACGGGAGGCAGCAGUGGGGAAUAUUGGACAAUGGGGGCAACCCUGAUCCAGCCAUGCCGCGUGAGUGAUGACGGCCUUAGGGUUGUAAAGCUCUUUUCUUCGGGACGAUAAUGACGGUACCGGAGGAAUAAGCCCCGGCUAACUUCGUG
rnacentral:rRNA from 1 species